rnacentral:ncRNA from 1 species
GACCCACGUCAGGGGAGUCCCGCCCAAGGGACUGAGAGGCUGAUUUCGGCGAGGCUUGCCCCGCCGAGGUGACGCGACCCUUAGAACCUGACCCAGUUGAUACUGGCGUAGGAAGACCGAAGGGCAUUUCC